GAUGAACGCUGGCGGCGUGCUUAACACAUGCAAGUCGAACGAAGCAUUUGCGACAGAUUUUUUCGGAAUGAAGUUGCUUAUGACUGAGUGGCGGACGGGUGAGUAACGCGUGGGUAACCUGCCUUGUACUGGGGGAUAGCAGCUGGAAACGGCUGGUAAUACCGCAUAAGCGCACAAUGUUGCAUGACAUGGUGUGAAAAACUCCGGUGGUAUAAGAUGGACCCGCGUCUGAUUAGCUAGUUGGUGAGAUAACAGCCCACCAAGGCGACGAUCAGUAGCCGACCUGAGAGGGUGACCGGCCACAUUGGGACUGAGACACGGCCCAGACUCCUACGGGAGGCAGCAGCGGGGAAUAUUGCACAAUGGAGGAAACUCUGAUGCAGCGACGCCGCGUGAGUGAAGAAGUAAUUCGUUAUGUAAAGCUCUAUCAGCAGGGAAGAUAGUGACGGUACCUGACGAAGAAGCGCCGGCUAAAUACGUG
rnacentral:rRNA from 1 species